rnacentral:rRNA from 1 species
GAUGAACGCUGGCGGCGUGCCUAAUACAUGCAAGUCGAGCGAAUGGAUUAAGAGCUUGCUCUUAUGAAGUUAGCGGCGGACGGGUGAGUAACACGUGGGUAACCUGCCCAUAAGACUGGGAUAACUCCGGGAAACCGGGGCUAAUACCGGAUAACAUUUUGAACCGCAUGGUUCGAAAUUGAAAGGCGGCUUCGGCUGUCACUUAUGGAUGGACCCGCGCCGCAUUAGGUAGUUGGUGAGGUAACGGCUCACCAAGGCAACGAUGCGUAGCCGACCUGGGAGGGUGAUCGGCCACACUGGGACUGAGACACGGCCCAGACUCCUACGGGAGGCAGCAGUAGGGAAUCUUCCGCAAUGGACGAAAGUCUGACGGAGCAACGCCGCGUGAGUGAUGAAGGCUUUCGGGUCGUAAAACUCUGUUGUUAGGGAAGAACAAGUGCUAGUUGAAUAAGCUGGCACCUUGACGGUACCUAACCAGAAAGCCACGGCUAACUACGUGCCAGCAGCCGCAGUAA